GAGGCACCAGUGGGGAAUAUUGGGCAAUGGAGGAAACUCUGACCCAGCGACGCCGCGUGCGGGAUGAAGGCCUUCGGGUUGUAAACCGCUUUCAGCAGGGAAGAAGCGAAAGUGACGGUACCUGCAGAAGAAGCACCGGCUAACUAUGUGCCAGCAGCCGCGGUAAUACAUAGGGUGCAAGCGUUGUCCGGAAUUAUUGGGCGUAAAGAGCUCGUAGGUGGUUCGUCACGUCGGAUGUGAAACUCUGGGGCUUAACCCCAGACCUGCAUUCGAUACGGGCGAGCUUGAGUAUGGUAGGGGAGUCUGGAAUUCCUGGUGUAGCGGUGGAAUGCGCAGAUAUCAGGAGGAACACCAAUGGCGAAGGCAGGACUCUGGGCCAUUACUGACACUGAGGAGCGAAAGCGUGGGGAGCGAACAGGAUUAGAUACCC
rnacentral:rRNA from 1 species